rnacentral:rRNA from 1 species
GACGAACGCUGGCGGCGUGCUUAACACAUGCAAGUCGAACGGAAAGGCCCUGCUUUUGUGGGGUGCUCGAGUGGCGAACGGGUGAGUAACACGUGAGUAACCUGCCCUUGACUUUGGGAUAACUUCAGGAAACUGGGGCUAAUACCGGAUAGGAGCUCCUGCUGCAUGGUGGGGGUUGGAAAGUUUCGGCGGUUGGGGAUGGACUCGCGGCUUAUCAGCUUGUUGGUGGGGUAGUGGCUUACCAAGGCUUUGACGGGUAGCCGGCCUGAGAGGGUGACCGGCCACAUUGGGACUGAGAUACGGCCCAGAGUCCUACGGGAGGCAGCAGUGGGGAGUAUUGCACAAUGGGCGGAAGCCUGAUGCAGCAACGCCGCGUGCGGGAUGACGGCCUUCGGGUUGUAAACCGCUUUCGCCUGUGACGAAGCGUGAGUGACGGUAAUGGGUAAAGAAGCACCGGCUAACUACGUG